rnacentral:rRNA from 1 species
CGGCUUCCUACGGGAGGCAGCAGUGGGGAAUCUUGCGCAAUGGGGGAAACCCUGACGCAGCGACGCCGCGUGGAGGAUGAAGGUCUUCGGGUUGUAAACUCCUUUUCUCAGGAAAAAUAAUGAUGGUACCUGAGGAAUAAGCCACGGCUAACUCUGUGCCAGCAGCCGCGGUAAGACAGAGGUGGCGAGCGUUGUUCGGAAUUACUGGGCUUAAAGGGCGAGUAGGCGGUGGGGCAAGUCUGAGGUGGAAUCCUAUGGCUUAACCAUAGAACUGCCUUAGAAACUGCUUUACUUGAGUCAGUGAGGGGAGGGCGGAAUUCCUGGUGUAGCGGUGAAAUGCGUAGAUAUCAGGAGGAAGGCCUGUGGCGAAGGCGGCCCUCUGGCACUGUACUGACGCUGAGGCGCGAAAGCGUGGGGAGCAAACAGGAUUAGAUACCCUAGUAGUCCAAGC